UGAUGGGGUGGGAGGUUGGUGUGUGUGCAGUCGGCUACAGGAUGACCGGACAAGGGAACGGAAACAGUUUAUGCUGCUAACGCGGGGCCGCUCGCAGACAGAAAUCCUGACCAUUCCACG
rnacentral:pre_miRNA from 1 species